AUAACGUUCGAGCCGUCGGUCUACCGAGCAAUUUCACCCGCUCGGUGGAACAUCGUCCCUUUAUGAU
rnacentral:pre_miRNA from 1 species